CUGUCUCCAAAAACCUAAAAAAAAAUGCUUCUUUCUUAUCCUGAAAAGCGUUCUUGGGUGUGGACUGGGUCAAAAUGGGACAAAGAAACUAACUUCCUCUUGAGGGAAACAUCAUCUGUCUCUGCACAUAUGCUAGAGUCUGGCUUUCUCCUCUAACCAAACACUGACAGUUUUUUUUCCUCAGGAAAUUAGCUUGAAAGGUGGAGCAGGAAUAUUGAGCCAAUUCAAUAUAACAGAUGAAUGGAUAAAGAAAAUAUAGCAUUUACACACAAUGGAGUACUACUCUGCCAUAAAAAGGGAUAAAUUUGAGCCAUUUGUAGGAAAAUGGAUACACUUUGAGACCAUAACCCAAGCUUAAAUAUCCUGUGGCUUCUCUUACAUGAUAAACCCACUGUCUAAAUAAAGCAAAAUAAAACAGAGACAAUAGGAAUACGGAAGAUAGAACUUUUGCAAAAAGGAAGGGAAGCAAUAAAUGGAGGGAGGGGGCAGGAGAGGAGGGACAGGAAGGGAUGAAAGAGAAUGAAGAUGUGUCAUGUACAUGGUCCAGCUCCACACAAUGAACGUAAUCGCUGUGUACUACACACACGUAAUAAUUUAAAGAAAUAUUUUAAAAUGAGUGUCUCUCAUUUACUACCCAGGAACUACUCCAAGGAGAUGCUGGGAAGUAGCCUGGGAAUGGCCAUCCCUCUCCCAUCAUUUCUCUUCCCUCAAUCCUGCUUCAGCUUCUGUCAGCCUGUGAAGGUCCUGCAGAGUGAGGUUAAGCCUUUUGUAAAAGAAAUCGCACAUCCUAAGUUCGAAGCCUGGACCUGGCCAACAUCUCAGCAAGAUGAAAGCCUUGGCCCUUACAAAUGGCUUUUGUCUCAGCCUCGAAACCCUCAUGUGACACCCUGAGGAGAGAGAAAACUCUUAAUCACAUUCGAACUGGAAGAGAGAGAGAGAGACAGAGACAGAGAGACAGAGAGACAGACUUCCUAGCCUUUGUCUUCUGCUAAAUCUUCUGCCCGGGCAGUCUCUGAACAUUCUGGAUGAAGAACUCAUAUUAUAAAAGUCAGGAGGGAGACCCACAGCACCAACACCUUAAUACCAGUGACCAAUGACAGUCGUCCCAUUGUCAGGACACUGAGCCUGUAACUCGCCACCUUCCCUGCUAGCUAGGGGUCAUUCUGUCCCUAAUCUCUCACGUAAACCUCCAGGUCCUGAAGGGUCUUAAGGGUGUCUCCUUUGUUCUCAGCAGACCUCUGAGUCACAGGGACCCCAGGCCUUUCCCCCAGCUUCCUUCAACUCAUCCAAUCCUUCCCCCUCUUCUCUGCAGGCCAGCUUCAAAAUAUUCCCAAUGAUUAGAACAUGUCC
rnacentral:lncRNA from 1 species